rnacentral:rRNA from 1 species
ACGAGCGAAUCUUAGCAGCAAUGGACGAAAGCCUGACCGAGCAACGCCGCGUGAGUGAUGAAGGCUUUCGGGUCGUAAAACUCUGUUGUUAGGGAAGAACAAGGGCUAGAUUAUCUGUUUGGCCCCUGACGGUAACCUACCCAAAAGCCACGGCUUAAUACCUGCCCACCGCCGCGGUAAUUAAAA